rnacentral:RNase_P_RNA from 1 species
CAAAGCAGGCCAGAUGGUCGCUGCCCGUUUAUCGGGGAGAGGAAAGUCCGGGCUCCGCAGGGCAUGGUGCUGGAUAACAUCCAGCGGGGGUGACCCCAGGGAAAGUGCCACAGAGAGCAGACCGCCCGCUACGGCGGGUAAGGGUGAAAGGGUGAGGUAAGAGCUUACCAGGCUCGAUGGCGACAUCGGGUGCUCGGUAAACCCCACCAGGAGCAAGGCCGAAUAGGGAAGCGGUAAGGACUGCCCGUCCGAGCUUCCGGGUUGGCUGCUUGACACCGUCGGUAACGGCGGUGCUAGAGGAAUGACCGUCGCCCGUUGCGGGGUAACCCGCUACGGGAACAGAACCCGGCUUAUGGGCUGCUUUGACCA